CCUACGGGUGGCAGCAGUGAGGAAUAUUGGUCAAUGGGCGGAAGCCUGAACCAGCCAAGUAGCGUGCAGGAUGACGGCCCUACGGGUUGUAAACUGCUUUUAUACGGGAAUAACGCGCCUUACGUGUAGGGCUUUGCAUGUACCGUAUGAAUAAGGACCGGCUAAUUCCGUGCCUGCAGCGGCGGUAAUACGGAAGGUCCGGGCGUUAUCCGGAUUUAUUGGGUUUAAAGGGAGCGUAGGCCGCAUGUCAAGCGUGCUUUGAAAUGUCCGGGCUCAACCCGGGCCUUGCAGCGCGAACUGGCGUGCUUGAGUCCGCGGAAAGCAGGCGGAAUUCGUCGGGGAGCGGUGGAAGGAUUAGAUAUGACGAAGAACCCCGAUUGCGAAGGCAGCUUGCUGCAGCGGAACUGACGCUGAUGCUCGAAAGCGCGGGUAUCGAACAGGAUUAGAUACCCCGGUAGUC
rnacentral:rRNA from 1 species